AAGCAAUGGCUGCUGCGAAGUCCGAUGAAGCAAAGGAUAACUUUAGGAAAAAGGCCUGCAAGUACUACUAAUGGUGCCAGCAAUGCUGCAGCAAAGAAGGGCCGUGGAACUGGUGGUUUGCAGAACCAGCUUGUUAACAGGGCAUUGGAAGGUUUAUCUCUUGGUGGAAGAAGUGGUAUGAGGAGCAGAGGGUGGGGAGGACGUGGACGAGGAAGGAGCUACUGGUAGCUUUGAUUCCCACCCAUAUUGUGUAACAGAACCAUCAGAACAAUGGAGUUAGUAUGAAUCAGAAGAAUAGGAACAAGAGUCAUUGAUGUAUUAAAACUCUCUUCUAUUGGAACAGUUUAUAUAUAUAUAUAUAUAGGGGCAGAUAAUGAGUUUUUAGAUU